UACCGAAAGAGCGCCGACGGGCCGUAAAGCUGAGGAAACCGGUGUGAAUCCGGUGCGGUCCCGCCACUGUGAUCGGGCAGAUCUCGACCCGAGAGCCAGAUACUCACCGUCGGCGCUUCCUCACG
rnacentral:ncRNA from 2 species